AAAAACGAAAAAAUGAAACACUUGACAGUCGGUUGAGACUUGAGAAGUCAAAACCAAACCUCGUUAAAAUUUAUAAAGAUCGUUUUAGAGAGAGAGUGUUUUUUGGAGAGAGAAAAGAAAAUGAUCGCAGACGGAGUGGAAAACGAAGAGAAAUGGUUAGCGGCAGGGAUCGCUGGCCUUCAACAAAACGCUUUUUACAUGCAUCGCGCUCUGGAUUCGAAUAAUUUAAGAGAUGCUUUGAAGUAUUCAGCGCAGAUGUUAUCGGAGUUACGGACUUCGAAGCUUUCUCCUCAUAAGUAUUAUGAAUUAUAUAUGAGAGCAUUUGAUGAAUUGAGGAAGCUGGAGAUGUUUUUUAAAGAAGAGGCGCGGCGUGGGUGUUCAAUUAUUGAUUUGUAUGAACUUGUGCAGCAUGCUGGUAACAUCUUGCCGAGAUUGUAUCUCCUAUGUACUGUAGGAUCUGUAUACAUUAAAUCUAAAGAAGCUCCAGCAAAAGAUGUUCUUAAAGAUCUUGUUGAAAUGUGUCGCGGCAUUCAGCAUCCUGUACGUGGCCUCUUCUUAAGGAGUUACCUUUCUCAAGUCAGUAGGGAUAAAUUACCUGAUAUCGGUUCAGAGUAUGAAGGAGAUGCUGACACGGUUGUGGAUGCUGUGGAAUUUGUUCUGCAAAAUUUCACUGAGAUGAACAAGCUAUGGGUGCGAAUGCAACAUCAGGGACCUGCCCGGGAAAAGGAGAAGCGGGAGAAAGAAAGGAGCGAGCUGCGUGAUCUUGUUGGCAAGAACCUGCAUGUCCUCAGCCAGAUAGAGGGUGUUGACCUUGACAUGUACAAAGAUACUGUGCUUCCCAGAGUUCUUGAACAGGUUGUCAAUUGUAAAGAUGAAAUCGCUCAGUUCUAUCUGAUGGAUUGCAUAAUUCAAGUCUUCCCUGAUGAAUAUCAUUUGCAAACUCUUGAGAUAUUGUUGGGUGCUUGCCCCCAACUUCAGCCAUCUGUUGACAUCAAGACAGUGUUAUCUAGAUUGAUGGAGAGGCUAUCAAAUUACGCUGCUUCAAGCGCAGAAGUUUUACCUGAAUUCUUGCAAGUAGAAGCCUUCUCCAAAUUGAACAAUGCCAUAGGAAAGGUGAUAGAAGCACAAGUUGAUAUGCCAAUUUUUGGAGCUGUAACUCUAUAUUCAUCUCUUCUUACAUUUACACUCCAUGUUCACCCUGACCGGCUGGAUUAUGCUGAUCAAGUGCUGGGAGCGUGUGUUAAGAAACUAUCCAGCAAAGGAAAGCUUGACGACAGCAAAGCCACAAAACAAAUUGUUGCUCUUUUGAGUGCUCCAUUAGAGAAAUAUAAUGAUAUUGUCACUGCAUUGAAGCUUUCAAACUAUCCUCGUGUAAUGGAAUACCUUGAUAUUGAGACAAAUAAAAUUAUGGCAACUGUUAUAAUUCAAAGUAUUAUGAAAAAUAACACACGCAUCUCUACUGCUGACAAGGUUGAGGCGUUAUUUGAAUUAAUGACAGGGCUUAUCAAGGAUCUGGAUGGGGCUGAAGAAGAGGUUGAUGAAGAUGAUUUCAAAGAGGAGCAGAAUUCCGUUGCACGUCUUAUUCAGAUGCUGUACAAUGACGAUCAAGAGGAAAUGUUUCAGAUCAUAUGUACGGUGAAGAAACAUAUCAUGACAGGAGGACCAAAGCGCUUACCCUUCACAGUUCCCCCACUUGUUUUUUUGUCUCUCAAGUUGGUAAGGAGACUUCAAGGCAGCAGCCAAGAUCAGGAGGAAAACCCUUUUGGAGACGAUUCAUCAACUUCACCUAAGAAAAUUUUCCAGCUCUUGAAUCAGACAAUUGAGGCUCUGUCAAUUGUUCCAGCACCUGAAUUGGCAUUACGAUUGUACUUGCAGUGUGCUGAGGCUGCCAAUGACUGUGAUCUAGAGCCUGUUGCAUAUGAAUUUUUCACCCAAGCAUAUAUUCUAUACGAGGAAGAAGUCUCAGAUUCAAAAGCACAGGUGACGGCACUGCAUUUAAUAGUAGGCACCCUUCAGAGGAUGCAUGUUUUUGGUGUAGAGAAUAGGGAUACUUUAACCCACAAGGCCACGGGGUAUUCGGCUAAGCUUUUAAAGAAGCCUGAUCAGUGUAGAGCGGUUUAUGGGUGUGCACAUCUAUUCUGGGUUGACGAUCAGGAUAACAUGAAAGAUGGAGAGAGGGUUCUGAUUUGCCUGAAGCGUGCUUUGCGAAUUGCAAAUGCUGCUCAACAAAUGUCCAAUGCGGCGCGGGGUAACACUGGAUCAGUGUUGCUCUUUGUUGAGAUUCUGAACAAGUAUCUUUACUUCUACGAGAAGGGAAACCCACAAAUCACAGUGGCUGCAAUCCAGAGCCUGAUUGAAUUGAUUACAACUGAGAUGCAAAGUGACAACAGUCCACCAGAUCCUGCUGCUGAUGCAUUCUUAGCCAGCACACUUAGAUACCUUCAGUUCCAGAAACAGAAAGGUGGUGCAAUUAGUGAAAAAUACGAGGCCAUCAAGGUGUGAAACAAUGACCGGAUGCCACGAACAACUUUCCAUGUUAUUGGUUUGAACGUGACUGCUGUUGAUAUUUUUGUGGAGUGAGCUGCGUAUCUGGCAUUCCUGGUGGUCUGAGGAGCUUGAUGCGUCUAACACCAGUUCAAUGUUGACACCAUGUGUGCUUAUAAGGUUUUGGUGAAUGACACUGUCGUUAUCUUUACAGAGCUGCAUGACCUGUCCGUUUAGUUACAUUUUUGCUAAUAAGCAUUCCAUGAUUAAGAACGCAGAUAGUAAACAUCCUUGGACCUCUUUCUGGA